rnacentral:rRNA from 1 species
AUUGAACGCUGGCGGCAUGCUUUACACAUGCAAGUCGGACGGUAACAGGUUAAGCUGACGAGUGGCGAACGGGUGAGUAAUGCAUCGGAACGUGCCCGAUCGUGGGGGAUAACGCAGCGAAAGCUGCGCUAAUACCGCAUACGAUCUGAGGAUGAAAGCGGGGGACCGUAAGGCCUCGCGCGAUCGGAGCGGCCGAUGUCAGAUUAGGUAGUUGGUGGGGUAAAGGCCCACCAAGCCGACGAUCUGUAGCUGGUCUGAGAGGACGACCAGCCACACUGGGACUGAGACACGGCCCAGACUCCUACGGGAGGCAGCAGUGGGGAAUUUUGGACAAUGGGGGCAACCCUGAUCCAGCCAUGCCGCGUGAGUGAAGAAGGCCUUCGGGUUGUAAAGCUCUUUCGGCCGGGAAGAAAUCGCAUCUCCUAAUACGGGGUGUGGAUGACGGUACCGGAAUAAGAAGCACCGGCUAACUACGUGCCAGCCGCCGCUGUAA